rnacentral:rRNA from 1 species
AGUGAACGCUGGCGGCAGGCCUAACACAUGCAAGUCGAACGCGAGGCGGACGGGCGAGGAAUACAUCGGAAUCUACUCUGUCUUGGGGGAAAACGUAGGGAAACUUACGCUAAUACCGCUUACGGUUGAAUGAGCCGAUGUCGGAUUAGCUAGUUGGCGGGGUAAAGGCCCACCAAGGAGACGAUCCGUAGCUGGUCUGAGAGGAUGAUCAGCCACACUGGAACUGAGACACGGUCCAGACUCCUACGGGAGGCAGCAGUGGGGAAUAUUGGACAAUGGGCGCAAGCCUGAUCCAGCCAUACCGCGUGGGUGAAGAAGGCCUUCGGGUUGUAAAGCCCUUUUGUUGGGAAAGCGGUACCCAAAGAAUAAGCACCGGCUAACUUCGUGCCAGCAGCCGCGGUAAUUC